UGCUGGAGAGCUCGGUCGGUAGAGCAUGUGACUCUUAAUCUCAGGGCCGUGGGUUCAAGCCCCACGUUGGGCAA